GGGGCCCUGAAAACAAUCCAUACUAAAAAGGAAAAUGAAGUACUUUUUGCUGAGUUUUAAUCACUGUAUUGACGCUUUCUGUAGAUAAUUCUGAAAGAAAUUAGACAUCACACAGUUAUUCAUGCUGCAAGACUGACAUCCCUUGUGCUUGAAUGGACCAAGCUGGUCUGCAUACAUGCACUUUGAUAGAACAUUAUCC
rnacentral:lncRNA from 1 species